AUGAACGCUAGCGACAGGCUUAACACAUGCAAGUCGAGGGGCAGCGGGGGUAGCAAUACCCGCCGGCGACCGGCGCACGGGUGAGUAACGCGUAUGCAACUUACCUAUCAGAGGGGGAUAACCCGGCGAAAGUCGGACUAAUACCGCAUGAAGCAGGGGCCCCGCAUGGGGAUAUUUGCUAAAGAUUCAUCGCUGAUAGAUAGGCAUGCGUUCCAUUAGGCAGUUGGCGGGGUAACGGCCCACCAAACCGACGAUGGAUAGGGGUUCUGAGAGGAAGGUCCCCCACAUUGGUACUGAGACACGGACCAAACUCCUACGGGAGGCAGCAGUGAGGAAUAUUGGUCAAUGGGCGUAAGCCUGAACCAGCCAAGUCGCGUGAGGGAUGAAGGUUCUAUGGAUCGUAAACCUCUUUUAUAAGGGAAUAAAGUGCGGGACGUGUCCCGUUUUGUAUGUACCUUAUGAAUAAGGAUCGGCUAACUCCGUGCCAGCAGCCGCGGUAAUACGGAGGAUCCGAGCGUUAUCCGGAUUUAUUGGGUUUAAAGGGUGCGUAGGCGGCCUUUUAAGUCAGCGGUGAAAGUCUGUGGCUCAACCAUAGAAUUGCCGUUGAAACUGGGGGGCUUGAGUAUGUUUGAGGCAGGCGGAAUGCGUGGUGUAGCGGUGAAAUGCUUAGAUAUCACGCAGAACCCCGAUUGCGAAGGCAGCCUGCCAAGCCAUGACUGACGCUGAUGCACGAAAGCGUGGGGAUCAAACAGGAUUAGAUACCCUGGUAGUCCACGCAGUAAACGAUGAUCACUAGCUGUUUGCGAUACAGUGUAAGCGGCACAGCGAAAGCGUUAAGUGAUCCACCUGGGGAGUACGCCGGCAACGGUGAAACUCAAAGGAAUUGACGGGGGCCCGCACAAGCGGAGGAACAUGUGGUUUAAUUCGAUGAUACGCGAGGAACCUUACCCGGGUUUGAACGCAUUCGGACCGAGGUGGAAACACCUUUUCUAGCAAUAGCCGUUUGCGAGGUGCUGCAUGGUUGUCGUCAGCUCGUGUCGUGAGAUGUUGGGUUAAGUCCCGCAACGAGCGCAACCCUUAUUGCCAGUUACUACGCAAGAGGACUCUGGCGAGACUGCCGUUGACAAAACGGAGGAAGGUGGGGAUGACGUCAAAUCAGCACGGCCCUUACAUCCGGGGCGACACACGUGUUACAAUGGCGUGGACAAAGGGAUGCCACCUGGCGACAGGGAGCGAAUCCCCAAACCACGUCUCAGUUCGGAUCGGAGUCUGCAACCCGACUCCGUGAAGCUGGAUUCGCUAGUAAUCGCGCAUCAGCCAUGGCGCGGUGAAUACGUUCCCGGGCCUUGUACACACCGCCCGUCAAGCCAUGGGAGCCGGGGGUACCUGAAGUCCGUAACCGCGAGGAUCGGCCUAGGGUAAAACUGGUGACUGGGGCU
rnacentral:rRNA from 1 species